UACAGAGGUCUCAAGCGUUGUUCGGAUUCAUUGGGCGUAAAGGGUGCGUAGGCGGCGCGGUAAGUCGGGUGUGAAAUCUCGGGGCUUAACUCCGAAACUGCAUUCGAUACUGCCGUGCUUGAAGACUGGAGAGGAGACUGGAAUUUACGGUGUAGCGGUGAAAUGCGUAGAUAUCGUAAGGAAGACCAGUGGCGAAGGCGGGUCUCUGGACAGUUCCUGACGCUGAGGCACGAAGGCCAGGGGAGCAAACGGG
rnacentral:rRNA from 1 species